rnacentral:lncRNA from 1 species
GUGUCUCCCUGAGGCUUAGGAGGUACCAGGAUUCACCUGAGUCUUCUGAGGGUGGCACUUGGGUUAGGGAACAAUUUACCCAUGACGAAGACAGAGAUCAGAGGAUGAAAUCACGGGUCAGAGGCGUAAAGUGACUUGUUCAAGGUCACCCAGCAGUCUGACUCCAGUGCCUGAGUGGGAGUGGGUCAUCAUGAUGAAUCAGCCUCUCCAAGGGAACCAAUCUUUCUAAACUGUCUGGUGGAGGACAGAUGGCACAGCACCCAGGAGUUCCCGAGCUGCCCAGCCUCAAAGAUGGUCCAUUAUGGGGUGUUCCACAGAAGCCGAGGCCCUUGGCCACAGAGCUAAACACAUAUGCUUGAAGUGGAAGUCAGAGAAACUGAAGAGAGGUCCACGAGAAAGUAGAGCAGUCUUGGACCUCAGCCGCAAGGUGUGCGAGCUACAAAAUGACUGCUGCCUCCCUUCUGCCCUCCACAUCUCCCACAGCAGGUUCAUAGAUACGCCCUUCAAGGCAGUCCCUCCAAAUGAGAAGAGCAUGAACUAUGUGGUUGUACAGCUUGGGUGUGAAUUCCAGCUUGGCCACUAUGUGGCUUUGGAAAAAUUACUUAAUUUGUGUGCCUAAUUUCCUCAUCGGAAAAACAAAGAUAAUAAAAUAUACCUCUUGGGGUUGUUGUAUGGAUUAAAUGUGUCUGUGUAUACAGAACCCCUAACACAGUCUCUCAGAUGUUGUAACUGUUUAACAAGUGGUGAUGUGAUUAUUGUUGAUAAUGUUGAUGGUAAGGCCAUUUACCCUACAUGGGUUCAAUUUUAGGAAGUUCAUUGUUGCUGCACGGCUGAGCCCUGUCUGCAACACCGCUAGUAUCAGUAAUAAAAUGGAUACUUUGAUUUCUA